UACAGAGGGUGUAAGCGUUAAUCGGAAUUACUGGGCGUAAAGCGUGCGUAGGUGGAUAAUUAAGUCAGAUGUGAAAGCCCUGGGCUCAACCUAGGAAUUGCAUCUGAAACUGGAUAUCUAGAGUAUGGUAGAGGAUGGCGGAAUUUCCGGUGUAGCGGUGAAAUGCGUAGAUAUCGGAAGGAACACCAGUGGCGAAGGCGGCCGUCUGGGCCAAUACUGACACUGAGGCACGAAAGCGUGGGUAGCAAACAGG
rnacentral:rRNA from 1 species